rnacentral:rRNA from 1 species
UACGAAGGGUGCAAGCGUUACUCGGAAUUACUGGGCGUAAAGCGUGCGUAGGCGGUGAGUUAAGUCUGAUGUGAAAUCCCCGGGCUCAACCUGGGAAUGGCAUUGGAUACUGGCUCGCUAGAGUGCGGUAGAGGGUGGUGGAAUUCCUGGUGUAGCGGUGGAAUGCGCAGAUAUCAGGAGGAACACCAAUAGCGAAGGCAGCUCGCUGGGACGUUACUGACACUGAGGCGCGAAAGCGUGGGGAGCGAACAGG